ACUCAGGAAGGUUAAAACCACCCUCAGACGCAGGAAGGUUAAAACCACCCUCAGACCCAGGAAGGUUAAAACCACCCUCAGACUCAGGAAGGUUAAAACCACCCUCAGACUCAGGAAGGUUAAAACCACCCUCAGACUCAGGAAGGUUAAAACCACCCUCAGACUCAGGAAGGUUAAAACCACCCUCAGACUCAGGAAGGUUAAAACCACCCUCAGACUCAGGAAGGUUAAAACCACCCUCAGACUCAGGAAGGUUAAAACCACCCUCAGACUCAGGAAGGUUAAAACCACCCUCAGACUCAGGAAGGUUAAAACCACCCUCAG